rnacentral:rRNA from 1 species
GUGUUAUACAGCGAAACUGCGAAUGGCUCAUUAAAACAGUUAUAGUUUAUUUGAUAAUCGAAUUUACAUGGAUAACCGUGGUAAUUCUAGAGCUAAUACAUGCUGGUAGGCCCGACUUUUGCGGAAGGGCGGUAUUUAUUAGAUAACAAGCCAAUAUUCCUCUGGUCUAUUGUGGUGACUCAUAAUAACUGAUCGAAUCGCAAGGCCUUUGGCCGCGAUAAGUCAUUCAAGUUUCUGCCCCAUCAGCUUUCAAUGGUAGUGUAUUGGACUACCAUGGCGUUUACGGGUAACGGAGGAUUAGGGUUCGAUUCCGGAGAGGGAGCCUGAGAAACGGCUACCACAUCUAAGGAAGGCAGCAGGCGCGUAAAUUACCCAAUCCUGACUCAGGGAGGUAGUGACAAGAAAUAACGGACCGAGGCCUUCGGGCUUCGGGAUUGGAAUGAGCCGAAUUUACACCCCUUAGCGAAGAUCGAUUGGAGGGCAAGUCUGGUGCCAGCAGCCGCGGUAAUUCCAGCUCCAAUAGCGUAUAUUAAAGUUGUUGCAGUUAAAAAGCUCGUAGUUGGAUUUCUGGGAGGGUGCCGAUGUCCACUUAACGUGUGCGCAGCGGCGCCCUCUCAUCCUUCUGUUAGCGUCUCUUGGCAUUCAUUUGCUGGUGGCGGGCUCAGAUAUUUUACCUUGAGAAAAUUAGAGUGUUUCAGGCAGGCUAGGCCGGAAUACAUUAGCAUGGAAUAAUGGAAUAGGACUACGGUCUCUUUGUUGGUUUGAGGGACUGCAGUAAUGAUUAAUAGGGAUAGUUGGGGGCAUUAGUACUUAACUGUCAG